AACGAACGUUAGCGGCGCGCCUAACACAUGCAAGUCGCACGAGAAAGGGCUUCGGCCUCGGUAAAGUGGCGCACGGGUGAGUAACACGUGGGUAAUCUGCCCUCGAGCGGGGGGAUAACAUUCCGAAAGGAGUGCUAAUACCGCAUAAGACCACGACCUCGAAAGAGGAUGCGGUCAAAGCUGGCCUCUAUACAUAAGCUAGCACUUGAGGAUGAGCCCGCGGCGCAUCAGGUAGUUGGUGAGGUAACGGCUCACCAAGCCAAAGACGCGUAGCUGGUCUGAGAGGAUGAUCAGCCACACUGGAACUGAGACACGGUCCAGACUCCUACGGGAGGCAGCAGUGGGAAUCUUGCGCAAUGGGCGAAAGACCUGACGCAGCGACGCCGCGUGAGUGAUGAAGGCCUUAGGGUUGUAAAGCUCUUCGUCCAGGGAAGAUAAUGUACGGUACCGUAGGAAAGAA
rnacentral:rRNA from 1 species